rnacentral:lncRNA from 1 species
AUGCAGCCCCGCGCAGCGCCCAGCCCAGGGGGACGGCGACCGGGGGGAGGCCGCCUGCAAGGACUCUGCAGAGGAGCGGGACCAGAGCCCUCGAAAAGGAGAGCGAGUGCAUUUCCCGGCAGGGGGAACCCGCAGGAGCCUGGAAAAAAAAAAAAAAAAAAAAAAAAAACGAGAGCGAGCGAGCCAAAGAGAGAGAGAAAGCAAGCAAGCCAGCCAGCCGCCCCCGCGCUCCGGAGCUCUGCGCGAGCCAGCGAGCGCGCGGGCCGGCGGGGCCGCUCCAGCUGGAAGUCAUUGUGCAGGCUGGCGUCCGCGUUGCCACGGCGACCGCCCGGCCGGCGCGGUGAACAAGCAGGGCGACAGCAUUCUGUGCCGCUGAGCCGCUCUGUGCAGGUGUGCGGCCGCCUGCGCCCGAGCCAGGCGCCUGCCCAGGGAGGGGGAAGAGCAGAAGUUGGUGGAAAAGCCGCCGAGGGAAGAACACCUCAGCCAGUCUAGAAAACGCUUUCAUUCGUCAUUCCAAGAGAGAGGGCGAGGGAGGAACAAUUAAAACUCUCAUCCUUUUUAUUUUAUUUUUUUUUUGCACGUUCAUAAACAUUCUGCAUAG